rnacentral:lncRNA from 1 species
CGAAAGAUAUGGCUCAAGAUUUCGCUGAACAAAAACAAUUUCCUGAACCUGUAGAUGAUAUUAAUGGGAAAACUGAGUUCACAGAUCCACCUGUUGGGUAUGAAAAACCACUUGAGGAGGAGCCUGCUCCAUCACAGCCUCUUUUGGAGGAAAGUGCUCCAGAAAAAACUGCUAUUGCUGUUGAUGUCUUACCUGAAUCACAGUGUGAAGGAGAAGAUGAAUGGCAAUCUGUUCAAAGACCAAGAUCAGGUCGCUCAUACGGACGACGACUAAGGCAGCGGAAAGCGGCUAUGAGCAAGGUUUACCCUUAUGAGAAGAAAGAUGUGAACUCUGAACCAGAAAUAUUAAGAACAGGGAAUACUUAUCAAAGUAGUAAGCAUCAGAUGCUAAAGAAACGAAUUUUGUCUCCCGGAAGUUAUGUUGAGCAGCACUCAGCAAAAAGUCCCUUUCAGGGUAACAAAUUUGGUCGGAGAACUGUGCAAGCUGUAAGAUACAGAGUGAAGUCUGUUCCAUCCACCAAGGAUUUGACAUUUGAGAAAUUGAACAUUGGCGAAGAAGAAGCUUUAGAAUCCAGACCUGUUUCUAUGGAAAGAGAAGUGAGCCUAUCAAUGAAAAGCUCAAUAAUUGGCCUCGUAAAAUCACCCUCGUACAAAGAAGUAGCACUGACGCCACCAGGUACUAUUUCAAUGCUGCAAGUCCGGGCAUCGGAGGAUGACUUUCCUGCAAAAGAGGAACUCAUUGUAAGAGAUGAAGAAACCAGUAAAGCAGGAGAUAAGAAAUUUGGCUCAACUGUUGUUAAUCCAGAAAAAACAUAUUCAACUGAUAAGGAUGAGGAUAAUCAAUCCAAGGCAGUACCUCGUAAUGUGGAAAUGACUCAAUCCAGCACUGCUAAGAAUUUUCAAGUUGCACCUAGGAUUUUUGAAGGUAAAGAUCCUUCAUACUCCACUUCACAAGGAGAAAAGGAUUCAAAUGAAAUCCCUUCUCUUCCAUGUGAUAUUGGUACUCGAGAUAUCUCCAAGAAGUUGUCUGCAUCGGCUGCUCCAUUCAAUCCUUCGCCAACUGCGACACAAAUUCCUCCUUUUCCCUUGAGUAUAGUUCUUCCUCCAGGGCCUGGUUCUGUUCCAGCUGUUGGUCUGUGGCCAAUAAAUAUGAAUCUUCAUCAAGGGACGGCUGUUAAUUUCUCAAGCCCAACCAUUUUAAACUCUCUGCAGUAUGUCUACCCUCCGUAUAUUCAUUCACGACCAUUACAAGGUCCAAUUUGGUCUGGCUGCCAGCCAAUGGAGCUCUCUGUCCCAUUACCUGUUAUGGAGCCAAUUGCUGAACCCUUUUUGGAAUCAAAUGAAGUGUCUGAAAGUUUAGUUAGCUGUAGAAGUUCGGAUUUGGAUUUGUCAUAUAAUAUUGAUGUGACGAACCAAACUAAGAGCGAAGCAGAUGUUAGUGAGAACCUGAAUGACGGGUUACAGUCAGAAGCUGUGCAAGAAGUUCCUAAACCAGAUUUACAUGGUGUUCCAUGUCCAGAGUAUUCAAUGGAUGACAAUAAUAAUUCACAUAUAUAUGCUGGAAGCAGUGGUGACAAUUGUGUGCCAGGUAACAUCAAUAUUUUGAUUAACAUCAAUAUUUUGAUUAAGGGAAGAAAAAACCGCAAUCAGACUCUGAGGAUGCCAACAAGUUUACUUAAGCGGCCUUAUAAUUCCCAGUCCUUUAAGAUCAUUUAUAGCAGAGUAAUUAAAGAGACUAAAGCUCACAAGUCCCCCAGCUUUUCUUCAGACAAUGUAAGUACUCUUUGUGCCGCCUGAGAUGUUCACAAGUAUGCAAGAUGACCAGAAAAUAGAGAAUGAUAGAUCUGUUGCUAUACAACUUACACAAUGAAACUAGAUUUCUUGAUGUGGAGCUUCAUGGAAUUUUGACCCUUCUCUUUUACUGUUUUGAGGUGACUUCCUUGGAUCCAAUUUCUUUAAUCAAUUUUUUUUAAAAUUUGUUGCUAGCUGGUUAAACUCCUUAAUGCUAUAAAGGUCAAAGCCUAGUUCAAAUUGCCAUCUUCGUCAAUAAAGUUGAUGGAUUUAUAUACACUUAUUGCUACGGGUGAUCGCGGUGCGGGCGGUGCGGUUUUUCGCUAAAACCGCGUAUGCGGUUUGGUUGAGAACUCAAACCGCAACCGCACCACGCUAGCAUAAAAACCGCGUAAACCGCACCACAAAAAUGCGGUGUGGUGCGGUGCGGUUUGUGCGGUUUGUAUGCUUAAGAAUAAAUAUUUUUAGUUGAAGUUCGAAAUAAAAUUUAAGUAUACAAUAAUUAAAACCUUUUCUUGUAAUGAAUUUAUACGAUAUUUAUCAUUUCAAAACUAUAACAACUACUAAAUAACACAAACAAAACUGUAAAUAUGAUAUAAAUAUGAGUACUAACUACAAAGAGAAAUGUUAUAAUAAUAUAAUCAUUUCAUACAAAUUUGGUAUAAUAGUAAUGUGAGAUUGAUUAAAUAAUAAUUAACUAUUAUUUGAAGAGAUUUAACAAAUAUAUAUAACAUAAUUAUAAACAAUAUAUAAGUAUAUAAUAUAAUUUUAUUUGACAAUCACUAAUAUAAAUAUAUAUAUAUAUAUAUAUAUAUAUUAUAUAAUAUUGCGGUGCGGUGCGGUUUGAACCGCACUACUAAUAUAUCAAACCGCAAUCCGCAACGCACCGCGCGGUUUGUGAAAAAUUCAAACCGCAACUGCACCACAAAAAUUAAAAACCGCGUUUUGUGGUGCGGUUUGGUGCGGUGCGGGCGGUUUGGGCGGUUUUUUAUCACCCCUACUUAUUGCCCAUUGCUUUUUUCAUGUUCAGUAAUGGAAAAACUUGUACUUACAAGUGAAAAAUGGAAAUUCCUAUCAAUUAUUCGGCAGAUUCUGAUUAAAUCAUACUUGAUUCAGAGUAGUUCGAAGUUGAUGCUUGCUUAAAAGUUAAAAAUACUAUAUAUAGAGAUGUUUUACUCUUUAUAUUUCUUUGGCUGAAUCAGCAGAAACUGAUUGGUAAUCUGCUUGUUGAUAUGCAGGCCUACUACAGGAAGUUCUAGUCGAGCGAUUUUGAGAGGUUCUUUUCGGAAAUGAUACAAUUCAGUUGGACAGUUCUGUUUUAUUUACUUUUUCUUUUUGGUUCACAAAAGAGGACUGACAUGUAGUUUCUGAUAUCUUAUAAUAGCAUAGACCAGAAAGUUGAGUUUUAUUAAUUUCUACAUUUGACAUUUCAAAAUUCAUGUUGAUGGUUCUGACGUACAUUAGUUCGCAGAUGAAAUGAAUAAAACUGAAUCAUGCAAAAUCUUUUUGUUGUCUUGUUUUCUUACUUAAAAAUUUCUACUAGAAAGGGCUUAGCAAGAAGAGACACAGGUAUCAGGCCUUCACUCAUAACUUAGCUUCGAUUCUUGUUAGUGAUUAGGUGUAGCAGCUGACGUUUACUCCUUCAAAAAACAAUAGAACCUCGGAUUUGAGUAGGGCUUUAAAAUGAUCCGGGUGAUCCCGGGUACCCUCUGCUCAGGUACCGGAUCAUAUUAUUUUUAGCUUGUCCAGAUUUGGGUCUGGGAUCGAUUUAUUAGGAUAUAAACCGAUCUUGGGUAUUUGAGAUUCGGAUCUGAACAAGAUAUGAUUCAGUAUCGUAUUUUCUAUUUUUUAACCGGGUAGUUUAUGAUCUAUCGAACAUGAGCCGGAUAUGAUCCAUUAUCAUCAAAUAUCAUUAUUAUUUUAGUUGUUUAAAUAAUUAUCAUUUAGUCUGAGUAAACAUAAUAUUAUAAAGUUUAAUAAUUUUAAAUUAAAACUUAUACUUAUAUGUUGGUAUGUAUCAUUUAUUAAAUAUAUAUGAAGAUAAUAAGCAUGAUCACAUUAAAUAAAUCAUAUUUUAUGAAGAUAUAAACUUAAAUAAGACAUUACAAUUUUAUAAAAUGAUGACUAUUUACUUGCAAAUAUGAUGGUGUUAAAAUGUAAUAUGUAUAUGAGUUUGAAUCGAAUAUGAACCGUGGAUCAUAUUCGGUUAUUCGGGUAGGAUCAUAUUAUGAAAAAUCAUAUGAGAACGAAUCUGAACGGGUAUAGGUGUGCUCGUAUCCGGGAUCAUAUAUUAUACGGGCCUAAUUUUUCCGCCAGAUUUGGAUCGUUUUCAAAACGGAUAUGAGACAUGUAUCAUAUUUUCGAGUCGGAUAUAAGCCGAAACACCGGAUAGUCCGUAUUGAUUUACAGGCCUAGAUUUGAGAGUAGAUAAAGAACUACCAGUAGUAGAUAAGAGUUGACACAGUGCUGCUAUUUAGAGUAUAUAAUUUAAAUUUGUGCAUUGCUGCUGUAUUAUUAUCUGUUAAUCAAGUAGAUCAGUUGAAUGUUGCAGCUGAAUCAUCUAAUUCCAUCAUGCUGACAGGUGAUGGUUCCUUAGAAUUAGAACUGACACGAUAAAACUGCAAUUAAUCUAGUAUAAGAAUAUGCACCAUCCUAUGGGUUUAGGUAACCAUCUUUAGAGAAAAGGUCCAAAAAUCAUUAUUUUAAGCCAAAUUUCCGGAUAAAUGGCCCCCAAUUGUUACUUCAAAACACGAAUUGAAAUUAGAUUUUGAAUUUUUUGAGAAAAACACGACUUGAAAUUGUGUUUUCAGCUGAAAACACAACUUGAAGAUACGUUUUGAACAAAAAACGCGAUUUAAAGUUGCAUUUUUGUUAACACAACACGAAGUUGCGUUUUGAAGUGAUAGUUGGGACUUUUUUUCAAAAAAUGAUAAUGUAGACCUUUGCUGUUAAAUGGUGACAUUUGGGGCAAAAGAAAAGAGUCCUUAGUUACUUAUCCGAAAAUUCUUUGGAGAGUAUGUUUGGCUGUGUUAACCUUCAGAAUUGCAGGUUGGAAAAAGUUUUAACAAGUUUCCUUUAUUCAUUAUUUGAGGGCAUUAACGUGUAUAUAGUGUGUAUAUGCUCCUGUGAGUUCAAUUGGAAUCCUGGCACGCGAAUAAAGUCGAGGGACAUGUUAUGCAUAAAGUUUUUGUUCGUUAUCAAUCGCUAAUCAGGAUGGCAAACGAUGUGGGUAAAUCUAAAAUCUUUAAAUUAUACAAGUUCAACUAAGAAUUAUUUUCUUACAAGUUGAAAAGCUUAUAAAAACAAAAAAAACUUGAUGAUCAGAAGUUAAAAAACAGACCAGAUAAGCUCACUACAUGUCCUUGACAAUUAGAAUCGAUAUUGCGUUAUAAUUUUAGGACAAAAGGCCCCAGGAGCACAAUUUCAGUACAUAAAUGUCCCAAUUAUCACUUCACCAAAAGAUGACCCUGCCUGUCACUCCAUAACACUUGAAAGAGCGUUUACCAAAAACCUUGAAAACGUCACACAAAGUGACGUUUCCUACUUAUAUGUACAGACAAAACGUAACCACAAGUUAAAUUACACUGUUGAUUUAUAUAUAUAUAUAUAAUUUUAACAUUAGUAAACAUUUUAGGGUUCACAUUUUGGUUUUUAUUUAGAACCUAAACCCUAAUUAAUGCGAGACUUUAGACCCUAAAACCGAGGAACCAAAUUAAAAAAUUAAUCUUAAAAAUAUUGAUUAAUAGUUUUUAAUAUUUUAGGGUUCAUAUUUGGAUUUUAGAAUAAUUUAUUUAUCUUGAAAUUAUAUUAAUUUAAAAAAAAAUUCAAAACUCAACUUUAAGUUGCGUUUUGGAGGUAAAACGCGGCUUAAAGCUGUGUUUUUGAAGCAAAACUGUAUUUAAACUUAUGUUGCAAGAUUUUUUAGAAAUUUAAAAAAAAAUCAAAAAUGGGUAAAACGUUGGCCUAAGCCACGUUUUAUGUUUUGUAAAUUGAAGGUAAUGAUGGAAACGUGAGACGCAGUUGCGUCAUGCCUUUUCAGUUCGCUAAACGUGACACACAGUGACGUUUUGCUGAAAACGUUCGUUGAAGUGGCGUUUUGAAGUGCCCGUCAGGGUCAUUAUUUUGGAUCGUGACUUUCAGGUCCAUUUCACUAGAAAUAGUGAUUCUCGGGGCCGUCACCCAAGUAUAUGCAUAUCUCGGGCUGGGGAUGCUGCUUUUGGUAUAUACAACAAUACUAAACUGUCAUAAACAGAGGCCUUUCUCUGUGAUUUGUGACAGUUUCAACUUGAAGUACUAAGUGACAGUCAUUGAUCAGUAGACGACGUUCUUUUAUCUUUUGGCAUUCACGGUUACGUUAAAAUUAAUAAGAAACGUCAAACUUUAUAAUAUAGCACUCCACAAAUACAUUACAGAACUCAAUGAGUUACGGUGGAUGCAAAACAGGAGUUGCAUUCCUUGUUGAACUGAAAAUGACAAAGCAUAUGAGAUACAUUUCCUCAUAAGUUUAUUUCUUACUCAGGCACAUAUAUGGCCUCAGCGUUAUUAUAUAUAUCGGUUUUUCCUCCGACUACUUCUCCAUGCACCGGAGGUAAGCUUAGUUUACGCUGCACCGAAAAAUAUAUUAGUCUGUCAUGUGUACUAAUGAACUAAUCAAAAAAGCUAUCAACAAUCAGUGAAAUAAACUUACGUAUUACAGUCGAAUUUACGAUCAGCAGAGUAAAUAAAUGGAAGUCCACAUUUCCCAGGAAGAGCGUCUAUUUUUGGAAUACGAGCAUCUGGAGCAGGAACACCAGCUCUGUUUCUAUUAGAACGAUCCUGCACGCAACGACACAACUCAAUCCUCUCUUCUCUAGUCUUGGCCGUAUCACGGAAUGCUUUUAAUGAGUUGCAACACUCUGCAGAUGGCUCCUGCUGUUCGCCCCUGUGAAACGGAUCACAAAGUGCUUUUGUACGUUCUUGUAAUGUUGUUCCGCAUGUAAAAGCCUCCCCUUGCUCCACCAUCAUAAAAGCCCCCAAAAUUGUUGCAAAAACCAUCGUCAAGUACACAAUCCUCGCCAUUAUUUUCUCAGGUAUCUGUAGACUUCUUGCAAUGUGCUAUGUAGACAAAUUGUGCAGAAAUAGAUUAUGCAGGUAGUCGCAUUUAUAGGCAUGUUGGAGAAGCACUAGAACAAAAUUAGCAAAUUUAACUAACAGUUAGGACACCUGGUGUGGUAUGUUCACGGAAAUGCCUAGGAACAAUUUGAUGCAUGCAUCUCUAUUAAUAUGUCUAAUUGCGUGGUUAAAUGUUAGGCUUCAUCUGAAAAACUACAAAUUUUUAUGUCCUAAGAUGUGACAUGACACCAGGCGCUUCUAUCUGGUAUGUAAAUUAGUUGCCUAAUUAUCCUCUGCUUUUUGCCUGUUUUAUUUAAUUUGUAACUGCAACUCCCUCAUCUCCCUGUUACACAAUGUAAGAUCACAGCACUCACAACCCGUUAGAAAAACGAGCCGAGCCGAGACAAAUUAUCCACAAUUAAACCAUGUUCAAAUCCCGAGUUUGGCCAGUUGGAUGAGUUAAUUUAUUUAAUAUUAAUAUUUUGUCAGAUGUGAUUAACACGAAUGAAAAUUAAUAUCACAUCACACUACAAAUUAAACAUAUGUUUGAUUGUAUAAGUCUAAAUAAUUUUCUUGCAACAAAAAUAAGUUUAACGAUACAAAAAUCAGAUGUGAUGCAAUGAAAUGAUCCUUGAAACUCUUAUAAUAUUAUUAUAUUCACUUUUGAAACUUUUGUGAUUAAGAAAACUGCAAAGACAAUUAUUAUGAUGUAAAUUAACUUUUACCUAUAAGGCAAUUGAGUAUUUGUUAAAUUUAUAAAUUAAAAAAAUUCAAAUUAUUGAAAUAAAAUAACUUUAUUACUAAAUAAAGUUUAUUACAUAUUAAAAAAUUAAAAACUUCAUAAUAAAAUGCAAAUCACUAAAAAAACCAAAAAAGUUAGCAUAUCUGACUUCUACCUUUUGGCUUAAAACCCCGAAAAAAGCACUUAUACUUCGUUUGCCAAACACCACCUAAAUAAUAGAAGCAACCUAAAGCGCUAAAAGAAGCAUGAAAGAACUUAAAAUAAUAAGUGUUGCCAAACACCCACUUACUAUCUCCUAUUUUUCCUAUAUUAGUGUUGGAAAUUUUUUUGGAGUAUAACUUUGUACCUUACAUAAAAAAUAGUUUUCAUAUAUAUAUAUAUAUAUAUAUAUAUAGGUCAACAAUAUUCCAGAGAGUUACUCCUUAUAUGGAGUUACAUAGUGCGCCAUUGUAAAUCAUCAAUUUUAUUAUAAAUUCUAUUAUAGAAUACAUAUAAAACGUGAUUCUAAUAUACAAUUCUAUAAAAUAUACCUAUUUUAAGUAAUCUAACACUUAAAAUUUGAUUAAAAAAAGUAUAUUUUCAAAACUGAUUCUACAACAGAAUAAUUCUGGAUGAUUAUUAUUCUGUUAUAGAAUCAUGUCGAGAUAUUGCAUAAUUUUAGAUGAUCUUUGGAAUAAAAAAAUUUAUAACUUCGUUUUCGGUUUAAUAAUUAAAAUUUGAAAUUAUAUUCCAUAAAAAAUAUUAUAGAAUAUAUAGUAUGUAUAUAUUUAUAAUGUUGUGCUACGUAACUCCAUAUAAGAGGGUAUGCUAUGGAGUGCUACCCUGUAUAUAUACAGUACUUACAAAAUAAAGUAGCACAUCACCAAAAAAAUUACAAAAAAAGCAUAAAUUACAUAUCUUGUAUUUCAAUUACUUAGUUAAGUACUUCAUAUGAAGGUUGUAAAAUAUCUGAUCCAGGAUCCAUAAAAUUCUCAUCUAAAAUUUUGUAAAGCGUUAUUUUUUAUAUUUAAUUUUAAAAAUUAUUAAGUGAAAUGUAAGUGAAAAUAAUUUGAUCAGAGUGUAUAUAAAUCAUUGUAAGUCAGACCUUCAAGGGCUUAGAAAGAUCAUGCUUUAAAAAAAAAAUGUUAAGCAUUCCAAUUAUAUCUACACAUGUAGUACUGUAGUGAUUAUUAACAAACGGUUUUGACAGUGCUGAAGUGUGUGUCCCAAACAGCUAGCAGGGAUCUGAUUUUGAUGAUUUAUGUGCUGUGUUGGAGUAUUUGGCGGAGACGGAAUGAUUGGGUAUGGAAUCAUGUAGCUACUUCACCUGUUGGAAUGCGUUCACGAGCGUGCUGUAUGUUUACCGAAUGGCAACGAUCAAGGGAAGAUAACUCUGUACAUAACACACAACAGCACACUGUGGUUCGAUUUCGAACGUGGUGUAAACCAGCUGAAGGCUGGGUUAAAAUAAACGUAGAUGCAGCUUUUGUGCAGGGGACAGACCAGGUAUGAGUUGGAUGUGUUAUUAGGGAUGAAAAAGGUAACUUUCUUUUAGCCAGAAGUACUGUAGUGCGAGCGAGAUUUCAGCCGAGAGAAGCAGAAGUUAUGAGCCUCAAGGAAGCUUUAACUUGGACGAAAGAAUGGAGUAGAAAGUGUCUGUUUGAAUGUGAUGCCAAGCUCCUAGCUAGUUGAUGCAGUAAAUGGCGGUCAGGGAAACACCUACUUUCAUGCAAUGGUCGAAAAUUGCAGGGAUAUUCUUAAACACUUUGAUGAAGUUUUAGUUACUUUUAUCUUUAGGUCUGCGAAUACGUAGCUCAUGAAUUAGCACGAGUUGCAUAUUCUAUGUCAUGCUCUAUACUGCUCCAGAUUUCAUCAUUUUUACGAUUGAUUCUGAGAAGUAUUAAUGCAAGUGCGUUUAUAAAAAAAACAAACAAACUUCUCCAAAACAAUAUUUCACAAAUCUAUAUGGUAUUUCGUCUAUGGCCAAUAUAUAUGUAACCAUAUACCCACCAAACCCCAACCUAAUUUGGUGCGUAAAAGCAAUGUGAGAUUAGGUGAUAUUUGAAUUUAAUUUUCAAACAUGCAUUUAAUCAAGUAACUAUAUUUGCCAAAAUCCAAACUGUAUACAUGUAAAACAAAUUACAAAUAAUUAAAAUAAUAUGAUUGCUAGGUGAAAAAAUAAAAUUUAAAUUUUAAUAUAAUAGAAAAAACCUAUUAUGUCACAAUAAAUAAAAGGGGUGAAACAACAAACCAACAAUUUUCCACAAGACAAACAAAAAUUUGAAAUACUCCUUAAUCUUUUAUUAUCUAAGGGCCUUCUCCUUUUUGAUAUCUUUGUGCAUUCUCAGAAACUUGAGAUACCUUUCAAAGCGUUUGUCCGCAGCUUGCUCCUAAGUAUUAUAAAAAAUCAAAAUUGAGUUUAUUAUAUGUAUUGUAAAUAAACAUAGCAAAAAAGAGUGGGAAAUGUCAAAUAAAAAAGAUAAAACAAGAUGUAUAAAAGCGCUAAGUCCAACAAGUCUAACCUGGCUUGGAGAGUUCUUGCAGUUUUCACAAAAAAUAAUGCAUGAAAUCUUUGCAUCAGUGUUGGUACAAGAUGGAUGGGACCUACAAGGAACAUUAAAAGCACAAUCAACGCAACACGAAAACUUCUAUGGAAAUUGAAAUCACAAGGCAUGCACGUUUAAGGAGAUAAUAGUUCUUAGUGAGUUAAUCAACUUAUAGUAUAAAAAGGCUUUACCACACUUCUUAUGAAAAUAUAGAAACUAUUCAACAUUCAACAUCAGUAAAUAAAAGAGUUGCAUGUAUGCACCUCAAGAUUUCUUUUUCUGAAAUGAUGGAAAUAAAAAUAAAGCACAUACUUUGAUACAUAAAAGAGCAAUUUUUUUAUUAUAAUAGAUACCAUACCUUGAUUUGCAUAUCUGACAAUGGACAUACAGAUCCGGAUUAUAAGGAUUCCCGCAAAUGCACAGCCUGCAAUUAAGAUUUAAGAAUAGGCAAAUUAGACACUUUGAAAAGAAAAAUUUUGUAACUAAACACAAAUAACAAGUAACUAUAUGAGUCGCAUAUCGCUUACCAAUCAGCAUCUUUGACAUCAAUCAAUUUUUUCUUAUAAGCAUCAUACUCAAAUCGACUAUAGUAAUCGGAAUCAGAACGCCGACCUUCAAGCUCCAUAUAAUCAUGGAAAGUGUGCACGGUACACUUUCCUAUGAUACAAUCUAGACUUUGAGGAUCAAAGUGGUUAGAUAGAAACAAUUCUUUUUUCCCGUGACAGUCUUUCUUCCAAAGGUCAGUGUCUUGGGGUCUGUAGUACCAUCUUACUUCCACUUUUUUAGCCUUAGAUUCUACAAUCUGAGCAACAUAUGGUGGAUCAUCCGGAUUAGAGGCCAUCAGAAGCACACAAUCUCCAACUACAGAACAUCAAAAGUAUAGACAAUGUGAGAAAUAGACAAUACCAUAUUCAACAACUCAUACAAAAAAGAAAGUGUGAUUGUCAUCCCCUAAACAUCUAUGUGUGGUAACUCACUAGGGGGUCAUGUGUUUUUUUUUUUGCAAUGCUUUUUGAUGAACUUAUAUUAAUGUAGUCCAUUAAGAUUGUUUUAAAAAAAUCAAAAGUUUAAAAGUGUAUAGUACAUAUCAUGUUUAAUCAAAAUAUUGUAAAUUGUAAUAAUUUAUUCAUGUACCAUACGAUGAGACGAGGAAGGUAGAAAGAACAAAGAUGAAAUAGAAGAACAUAUCUGUCUAAAUAGCAAAGAGGUAUGUUGAGAAGAAAAUUUGUAAAUGGACAUCCGCUGACAGACAAGCAUAAAAGUGAGCAUCAAGGGUUGAGCCUCAAAGUCAAUCUCCUUGAGGGAACACUUCAUGAGAAAUAAGGACCUUGAGAAUGAGUGUUGAAGGAUGGUGGGCGUUAUAUAGAGUUUUAUUCUAUUUUAGUUCUCUUUACUACCUCCUAAUGACUUUCUAUAAAAAGCUCAUAAUAAUAUAUAACAUAAUUAUUAAGUUUUUUAAGAUAUAUAACAUAUUUAUUAGGCUUUUUAGAGAGAUAUUGUGUAUUUUUUAGGGAGAAAUGUAGAUAGCUUCCAGUAAGAGAUUGAGCAGGGAUUCAAAGGAUUUGUUUGAAAAUUAUAGAGAUAUUUUUAAGUUAUAAUUUCUAAACUCUAAGUUGUAGAGAUAUUUAUUAUUAGUGUGAUUUCAUUAUUUUAGAGAUGGGAUGAUGAUAAUCUAAUUAUCUAGGUAAGACCAUAUUUGGUGACUAGUACUAGGACAGACACAAUAUAAAAGCUAGUAAACUUACAUUAGACAAAGUUAACGAAAAAUUGAGUUUAACCACCAUCAAUCCCUCAAAUGACCAUCAAUUACAUGACUGUUAUAUGGUAGAGCUUAUGAAAUAAAUAGAUGAUAAUACCAAUGAGGGAGAAAUGAAAUUGAUGGAAAAUAAACAAUGAACUACAUCCAUUAAGUAAGUGUUACUCCCUCUGUUACAUUCAAUUCUAUCCAUACUUUAGUACUCGUGUAAAGUAUAUUUUUUAUAAUUCUUUUUUAAGAUUUACUUCUUCCGGAUAAAAAAUUAAAUAUUAAAUUUUUAUUAGUUAUAGAGCUAUACGUCAUAGUCUUGAAGAAGCAUUAAAGUACGUGCUGCAUCCACCAAUGUAUACAACUCAGAGGGACAGUGAGAGUAUUAAACAAAUGAUGCCUCCCAGGCAUCGUUUAUUUAAUACUCCCUCCGCCUCCUGAGUUGUAUACAUUUAUUAUAUCAUAACAUGAGCAACAACACAAAUAAUAAAAUCAUAAUUAAAACUACAUAAAUACAUAGAGUUAUUACCAUUAUAAUGAGGACUAUUAUGUUUGCGUAGCUUCGAUGGUGCAAGGGAGUUGAUAGAGUAAUGUGAAGAGAUUCUUUUCUUACCCUUGGGAUCCCUCACACCUUGUACAUCUUUUCUUGUGCGGCUCAUAACUGUAAAAUAUCAAAAGUAAAUUUUAGCCCAAUCUGUUGCAAUUGGAAAUCAAAAACGAAAACUCUGUAUAAAUUCGAAAACUAAAAUUGGAAUCAAUUGCAAGAAACAUGCGAGUACUUACUAAUUAUUAUUUCAAACUAAUUACCCGAUUAUACAUGGACACACACCACUGUACCUUUAGAUAUUUACGACGGAGAAAACAGAAUCUUGGGAGAAAGAGGAUAUAUUUGGGGGGGGGGGGGGGGGGGGGUGGUGUUAUGAUACUGGUGUAUAUGCAUAUUAUUAGUCAAUCUAAUUACUCGAUUAUACAUGGACACACACCACUUUACCUUAAAUACGUCGGAGUGAGACUAUUGGAUCGUGAGAGAAAGAGGAAAUAUUAGGGAGGGGGUAGAUUUUUCAAUUGUUGAAGAGACUAAAAGUAUAUAGUCUUGUACUCAUGAGGCGAUAAUAUCUAUGGGGCGAUAAGAUCUAUGAGGCGACAAUAUCUAUGAGGCGAUAAAAUCUAGGAAUAUUUGUCGGUGUGCGUCUACAGGAGAUAAAGGUUCCCGAUGGCCAUGGAAAUGUCUGUGUGCGUCUACACGAGAUGCAGAUGCAUCUGUGUUUGUGGGAGCAAUAUGACGUGUCCAAGAAUCUGUAAAAAUAAAAAUUACUUUUUGUAAUUUUGGAUAUAUGGGAAAAUUUUCCAAAACUACAUUUUUCAGUAUAUCACAAAUAAAAACUACUUGCCUUAAUAAAUAUCAAAUCAGAAUUUGAAAUUUCUUUUUAAUUAUUUUGAUACCCAAAAAGUCUUACUUUUCUUCCAAGCCCGUGACCAUAUUUUUGGAAAAGGUGUAUAUUAAAAAGAGAAAAUAUUUUUGAUAAGUCGGUUUUUUCUCAAAUCAACCCGUAUAAAUUGAGGUCAAACAUUAUAAAUUUUAACAUAAACAAUUUUUUGUGCCUAUUUAUCUUCUCAAUUUAAUACAAUAAUGAGUUACACUAUGCUGGAUGCUUUGAAUGGUGAUAGAGAUGAUUGGCUGGUAAGAGCAAGAGUUUGUCGGGUGCACAAAUUUAUUUUAUUCUAGAAAUUUUAAUUUUAAAUCAUUAAUAUAAAUUUUUAUAGGCCGCCGCAACACGCGGCUUCUCAACUAGUUACCUCUAAAUAUGAGUUAAAAGAAUAAAAAUAUUAUUUAUAGAGUUUUAUUAUUGAAUGUUACCACAAUAAAGUAAAGAUUAUGACUUCUAAUUUUUAUGAUAAUAUAUUUAAAUUUUAUCAAGUUUAUGUGCUAUUUAGUUUUAUAUUAUAAAGUUAUUUUCUUUGUUUUAAUUAAAAAUAAAUAGUUGAUAAACUUGUUAAAAUUUAAAUAUAUUAUCAUAAAUACUAGUUAUCAUAACCUUUUACUUGGUUAUGGUACAUUCAAGAAUAAUAUUUAGAACUCUAUAAAAAAAUAUUUUUACUCUCGAAGCACAUAUACUUGUUUGAUAUCUUUCAUGACUUUAAUGAUAUAAAUGAUAUCCCGUUAAGACUCAUGAAUAGAGUGAUAUAUGAGUUUGACUUCAGCAUUUUAAUAUUUACUGAAGUACAUUAAUUUUGAUGAUACAAAUGAAGGACAUUUCAUUUCUUUUUGAUAAACAACCAGAAGUUUACUCUUAUAAUUUGCUAAUUUGGAGACAACAGAAAUUCAAAUCAAAUAUGUAUAUAAUUGUCGAUGUUUGAUUGGUGCACAUUAUAUCACUAUUCCCAUUUCCAAGUAAAUCCUAUUAUUUUGUGUGUAAUGAAGGAUUAGCUUUGUCCGCUAGAAAAUUCAUCUAAAUUAUAAUUAAUCAAUAUGUUGUGCAUCAGGUUAUGUUGGGAAUUAGUUUUUGAGUCUACACGAAUUCUAAAUAUAUAAUUAGUCACUAGAGGUGAAUAUGAAAUCUCGUUAGGAUUGUUCUUCUUUUUGGAAAAUUAUUUUCUUUUUAUAGUUUGGUGAUAAUUUAUGAAUCUAGAGCCAUAAUGUACAUAUUCUUUAUUGCAUUUAAUUUUUCGCAACAAUGUUUCAUAAUUUACAUACUUAUACCGCUUUUGGACAUUUGAAAUUUUGGAUUCUCGUUUAAUGUCCCUAGCACGUUCUUUUCGCAUUGCUUUAUCAUUUCUUUAUAAAAAAAAUUGCAUUUCGCUAGAGGUUUUAGUCCUUACCUAUGUGAUAUUGUUAUGUGUGUGCAUCAGGGUUUUUAUAUGCAAAACUGGAGAUUUCUAGACACUUCUUUAGGGCCCGAUUCACUCGACUCUCUUCUUAUGUGACAUCAUUUUGUGUAUGUGCUAAUAUCGUAUUUAUAUCAAAAAUCUCAAGAGCUCCAGAAGCUUCUUUCUCCAUAAAAUUCUAGAUACUUUAAUGAGGCCGAUUCACUCAACUCCGCUCAUGUGAUGACAUCAUUUUUUAUAUGUGCUAGUACUGUAUUUAAUAUUUAUAUCAAAAAUCUCAAAAGCUCUAGACACUUCCUUUUCCCCAGAAUUCUAGACACUUCUUUAGCGACCGAUUCACUCGACUCUUCUUAUAUGACAUCAUUGUGGCUAAGUGCUCGUACUAUAUAUAUCAAAAAUCACAUGAGCUCUAGACAACUCCAAAUACAUCCUCCCAAUUCACUAGAUUCUUCUUAUGCCCUUGUAUUUAAUCAUAUGAAUGCGUGUUAUGGUGCUCUUUACCAUGCAAUUUCGCCGAAGCGAAUUGUAUCUUACAAAAUCCAAAGGAGAUGAAUAAGGUAGGAAGAUUUCAUGCAUGGGUAAAUAUCAUUGUAUAUCAUCCCUUGUUCCAGAUCAAGAGCCCGAUAACACUAUUGUAAGAACCGUAACAAAUCUUCAAAGAGAAAUGAAGAGGUUCAGAUAAGAAAUCACAUUACAUCAGUUACUUGAGAAAUUUCAGAUGGAAUAUCCUAAUAUUCCCAAGUAACUAAUUUGAUGUGUCGUAUUGGAUUUAACCUCUUAUUUUUUUUUGAUUGGCAAAAGUACUUCAUAGUAAUGUUUAUCGGGUCUUGAUCUGGAACAAGGGGUGAUACAAUGACUUGCAUAUGACACUGAGGGUGAUAUAUAGUAAUAUCACCUACAAAUAACUGAUCAGUGUGUCCUCAAUUAUGCCUGAAAAGAGAUGUCCAGGCGGACACUAGUCACACUGCUGCAGUCAGUUCUUAUAAUGAUUUUUUUUCUAAUCUUUGUAAAAUGUAUGACUUUGGGCAUGUAUUUGCAUGUUAGUAUAUUGAUAAUAUUGUGGUAGUUUUGUUUCUUUUGAUGUGUAUCCACCUAUACUUUGAUUACAGUAUUAAUGGUUAUCAGAAUAGCAGAGUCUAAUAACUUUUUUGAAUACUUUGGACAUGGAUGAAUGAUAAAAAAAUGAUCUAGUCGCUACAUAUAAGGUUUGUUGACUGUUUUAAAUAAACAUUAAUAAUUUUGUAAGGGAGACAUGUUGCACCGCACAUGUUUAUAUGAAUUUUUAUAGGGUUAAAUAUCAACUAUGGGAUAAACUGUGUCCAAAAAACUGAAGCAGGUCACGCAUUGCAAAUUUAACGGACUACGUCCAAAAAACUCAAAUAGAUCAAUUUAAUUUAAUCAUUUCGUUCAAUUCGAAAGCCGUUGAUUGAUGAUUAAUUCGAGUUGAGUGACCUAUUUGAAUUUUUUGGACAUAUUCAAUCACCUACCAGAUAUCAACAAAUUGUAAGAUACUGAAGACAUAGAUCAAAAUAUUUUUUGAGUUUAAUAUUUUAAAGAUAACAAAUUUAUAUCAAAAUAUAAGUAAAAAUUAAUUUUUGAAUAGAUAUAAAUCAUCUUUAUUAACUUUAAUUUUUAAAAUUAUUUUUUGAUUUUUGCUAUUUUUUUAAUUUUCAAAUUUUUUUUAAAAAUUCUAUUUAAAAUCAGAUUCAGAUCCGGAUAGUAUUCAUAUCGUGAUACUAUAUCCGGAUACGAAUAUGAAUUUUCGGAUCCGAAUCAACAUACAUACAGAUAAAUAUAAGAUGGUAACUGACACAAAAAAGAUUAAUAUAAAAUAGAUUAAUAUCAAAAUUAUCUGUUUUACAGCUUGACAUUUUUGUGGGGUGACGGCCCUGAGAGUCACUAUUUUUAGUGAAAUGGACCUGAAAGUCACGAUCCAGAAUAAUAACCUUGACUGGCACUCCAAAACGCCACUUUAACGAACGUUUUCAGCAAAACGUCACUGUGUGUCGCGUUUAGCAGACUGAAAAGGCAAGACGCAACUAAGUCUCACGUUUCCAUCAUUACCUUCAAUUUACAAAACAUAAAACGUGGCUUAGGCCAACGUUUUACCCAUUUUUAAUUUUUUUUAAAAAUUCUAAAAAAUCUUGCAACGUAAGUUUAAAUACCGUUUUGCUUCAAAAACACAGCUUUAAGCUUCGUUUUACCUCUAAAACGCAACUUAAAGUUGAGUUUUGAUUUUUUUUUCUUAAAUUAAUUUAAUUUCAAGAUAAAUAAAUUAUUCUAAAAUCCAAAUAUGAACCCCAAAAUAUUAAAAACUAUGAAUCAAUAUUUUUAAGAUUAAUUUUAUAUUUUGGUACCUCGGCUUUAGGGCAAAACCCUAACCGUCAGUCAAUUUAAUUUAAAGUAUAAAUUAAUCAUUCUAAAACACAAACAUAAACCCUGAAUGUUAACGCUUUUUAAUUAAUUUUAUUAAACCGGUUCCUCAGCUUCAGGGCCUUCGGCCCUAAAACCUCGCAUUAGUUAGGGUUUAGCCUCGAAGUAUUAGGGCCUAACGGCCCUAAACCCUCAAUCCUAAACUCUAACCGUCGGUCAUUUUAAUUUACAGUAUUAAUUAAUCAUUCUAAAACCCAAAACAAAACCUAAACCCUAAAUGUUAACGAUUGUAAAUUUAUUUAUUAGACCGGUUUCUCGGCUUUACGGUCUUCAGCCUUAAAGCCUCGCAUUAAUUAGGAUUUAGGCUCGAGGGAUUAGGGCAUAACGGCCAUAAACAUCCAUCCUAAACCCUAAUCGUUUGCCAAUUUAAUUUAAAGUAUGAAUUAAUCAUUCUAAAACCCAAACAUUAAUUAGGGUUUAGGCUGGCCCUAAACCCUCAAUCCUAAACCCCAACCGUCGGCCAAUUUAAUUUACAGUCUGAUGAAUUAGUCAUUCUAAAACCCAAAACCAAACUUAAACCCUAAAUGUUAACGACUGUAAAUUUAUUUAUUCAACCGGUGCCUCGGCUUUAGGGCCUUCAGCCCUAAAGUCUCGCAUUAGUUAGGGUUUAGGCUCGAGGGAUUAGGGCCUAACGGCCCUAAACCCUCAAUCCUAAACCCUAACUGUCGGCCAUUAAUAUUUUUAAGAUUAAUUUUUUAGUUUGGUUCUUCGGCUUUAGGGUCUAAAGCCUCGCAUUAAUUAGGGUUUAGGCUCUAAAUAAAAACUAAAAUGUUAACUAAUGUUAAGUUUUUUUAUAUAUAUAAAUCAACAGUGUAACGUAAACUGUGGUUACGUUUUGUCUGUACAGAUAAGUAGGAAACGUCACUUCGUGUGCGUGCGGGGGCGCGCUUUACCCAGACACAUUGUCAAUCAUCUAAUUGAAAAAGCUCCUCCUAUUAGUUUUUUUAAAAUUAGCUUUUUAGAUCCAAAAAACUAUUUCAAUAAACUAACUACCAAACACUAUCAUUAGCUUUUCCAUUUGGUCAAACAUCUAAUUUGAUUCAAAAAGCUAAUUUCAUCUCAAAAAACUAACUUCCAAACACCCCCAUUAUACUCUUAACCAUAUUACACUCUUGACCAAACAUAUUCUCACCGUCCAGCUGCCAGAGUUAUUUGACACGAGAGAAUUAUGAAUGGAAAAUUGGUAGUCAUGUCCUACCGUUUAUUUGAUAUACUAAGUAAUGCAUAACCAAUCUCGUUUACCGAAAACUGUAAUACUCGUUUUUAUAAAGGAAUUCCUUUAGUGUCCAAUGUUUAUUUCCUGUACGCCCAAAUGGGCAGACUAUAAUUAAGCCUUUUUUUUCUCUUUAUUUAUUUUCCGCAAUGUGACAAUUUGACGAAAUAAUAACACACCACGUCACCAAUUUUUAACGUCAUAUACAACAAUACAACUGAUAGUUUAACAUAAAGCAUUAGUAGUUGCAGAACAUGGGACAUGAACAUGAGGUCUUUGGAUGAGGCCAUAUACACAUACAAUACAAAUUUCCAUCAAAGUUAUAAAGUCACACAAUCAAAUACGGAAUUUGAUUACAGAGGACUUAAUCAGAUGAACCUACCUUAGAUUUAUGUGUCGGAGAUGAGAAGAGAGAAAAAAAAAAAAGGCCACAACAAAGAAUAUAGUUUCUCCAACUACUUAGACCAGGCAACGGUAUCAAUCUCUGCUUGGGCGCCUCUGUACAGUUCCAACCUCUUGGCCAGAGAGAUACGCCGCUGCAUUAUUGCCGGAUCCUCGUCUAACAAUUUACCCAACUGCUUUGCCUGCAAAUAUAUGAUGUAUAGUAAGCAACUUGGCAUAUCUCAUCAUGUUUUACUUGCAAGGUGAGUGAAGGAUAAACUAAAAAAUUUACCUCCUUUUUUCCCAAUUCAGCGAAGAAAUGGUCAAGUAAGCCACGCUUGGCCUCACGUACUUGACAAUAAACAACAGACUUUGGGAUGGAGUUCCUCAAACUUCCAAGCACCAUAUGGACAUAUGACAACACGUUGGAACCUAAGUUUGAAAGACGAGUAUAUAAUUAAACAGUCAAUAUUACACUAACUGUCCUAAAGGAAAAUCAGACAAGGAACACAAAACCUUGAUUAUAAGAUUGUGCUCAAAACACAUUAUUAAGUAUGAUUCUCUGUGGACCAUCAUUCUUACCAAUGCGACGAAGAUAUGAAUCGUUAUAUCUAUCAAAGAUGGAAUGUGUUGGAUUUCCACCCUUCUCGACAUCCUGCGGAAGCUUCCUAAAGAAAUCAACAGUCAGGUAGCUACACUCCAUUUCAACUAGCUGAAGAGUAGCUUUUUUGCUAUCUAAUUUCAUCUUAUCCAAGGAUUCAAUUGCAGCAUUUGAAACCUCCACUCUCAGAGAGGGAUAUUGCUUCAGCUCCUGCAAAAGACAAGCAGUAAUACUGAGAUUCAGGACUAGGUAAUAUGGAUAGAUGUGAGCAUGGAUAUUAGAUGUAUUAACAAAAACAAUUAAAGCUAGAACUUGGGUGAAUUAACUACAGAAAACCCACAACCCUAAGGUUUCCCAACCAUAGAAGGGAGGAAACACCAUGGAAUGCAAGUAUGCAUACCAUAAAAGACUCAAUCAAUUAAAAAUAUCUUCAAAAAUCAAGUCAAAUAUGUAUGUAGGGAUUACAUCAAUAUAUAUAUAUAGAGAAUAUAAUACCUAAUUACAUAACCUGAAGGACUAAGGCCAGUAAAAACUGGCACUUCUAUAAAUAAACUCCGAACCCCACAUAUAAAACAAAUAGAUAGACACAUAUAUUUCUACACUUAAAAAUAUAACAAUUAAUAACAAGUAUAGGGUUCUUUAUUGUUCUUUUCUCUAAGGAUGUUCAUUUUGGAGAAUAUAUAUAUAUAUAGAGGCCUGGGAGGAAGUAGAGAAAAACAGUCAUGUGUUAGACACAGUACGAGGUGGCAGUCUAGUAAUUUUCUGAUUGUAAAUAAUAUGGAAAAUGUGCCAUCAAAUAUUACAUCAGCCAAAUUCCCUGUUUACAUAGAUUACUGCAUCCAAGAGAUCAGGCAUCUAGAAUAAGGCAUGAAAAGCAAGUCUCUAUCCAACUUUAGUGUUCCUCGGCACAAAUUAGUUAAAGGUAAGUUUUGGCCAAAAUACAAAGUUAUAGUUGAUAAAGAUAAGUUUUUUGGCCCAAACACAAAGUUCGAGUUAAUAUUUAUAGAUAAUGAACCGUUAAAUUUAGUGGGGACUACAAAUUCUAAAAGUGCACUUUCAUUCCAAAGCUCACACCCAAACUCCCAAGUGCACGAUGUCUGAAAUCUAAUAAUCCCAUGUAAGAAGCAAUAAGCAAAAUAUUCUAAUCACUCAAGAAAGACUAAUGUGAAAUAGUCUUUGAUACUAACCAUUGUUUCAUUGAUUGACUUGUGAACCAGGUCUUUUAGUAUAGCAUGAACCUGAAAACAUAAUAACGAAAUAUCAACAUAAGCAACUUGCAAGCAUAUUGCCGGUGUCAUAAAAUGUGUCUUAAACUAUUACUUGCAAUUAGCAUACAUAAGAAACAACACAAGACUAUCAAAUCUGAACACAUUCUCAAAUAUUUUAUGCAUGAACAUAUAUUCAAGAAAAAGUAUGAGACCUUACGAGCCAUUUAUGCCAAGUAUACUAGUACCUUUGUAUGGAAAAAGAGCCUCUUCUCUAUGCAUUUAUUAAUUAUUAAUUAAAUAUAGAGAAAAAUUCAGCACAAGGAUUCUCAACUCAAAAAAUAGUAUUAACAGACUGCUGCUCGAUAACUAUUAAUCAAAUUUUGUAUAUGACUAUGAUGGAAACUUAUCCAUAAUCUUCAGCAUAUAUGAAACCCUUAUGUGCAAUAAAGGGAGUAUAAUUACGAAGGAAAAGGGAAACUCGAGAAGAACUCUUGGUGAGGAAACACAUAAAACAUGACACUAAUAACCUCAAUUAUUUAUGAUUAAUUACUGCAUUCAUCAUGGAAUGUACGUAUUGGAAAACACAAUGAAAUGAUUAAGAGAUACAUAAUUACUAAACUAUCAAUAGAGAAUGACACCGAGAUGGCAUAUUUUAAGCAGAUUGUCUAGAAAGACUUGAUUCUUACCGCAUCAACAGCUGCCUCUGCAGGGCCUUUGAUGGUUACUAAGGUAGAUUCAAUGAGACGGCGGUACCCUUGUUCAGGAGCAAUUAAAUGAGGUUGAUAACCAUCAGCCUCGGUUAUGAGUUUUCUCACAUUUUCCAUGGAAAGCUGCUUGUCAAACUGUAACCUUUUCAAAGCAGCUGGAAGUUGAUUAUCAAAAACAUUAUACACUUUAUCACCGCCUGGCCGACUGCAUCAAUUAUAAAUAUUUUGAGUUGGAAAGUGACAAAUUAACCAAAAAUGUUAGAAAUAUUAGUGUACGUAACUACUUCACCAAACAUACAUGCCAUCAAGAUGUUCUUUAAAUAUUUGAUCGAAACUUCGACAGAUCUCCAUAAUCAUGUAUAAUUUUCCCUGCAAUAAGUAGUGAAAUACAUAUAAACCACUAAUACUUCAAGAGGCAGACACCAGCAAGUAGUGUAUACAUUUUAACCCUACAAAUCCUAUAUUACAAAUGAAAGUACUUGAUCUCAUUAUAUAAAAGAAUCACAGCACAGAGCUAUAGUUUCCAAGCACAAAAAAACUCAAGUAGGUAACUGCAGCUUCUAUUUAAUUAAUAAGUAAUCUUCUCCCUCUGGGUAAGAGGUAUACUUACUCCAGCAUCCAUAGCAACUGGCUUCCCAAGACGGCUCAAUUCUGUUUCAAGUUCAAUUAUAGUUUUAUUAAUCAAAGACUGGAGACCUGGUAUUCGGGACUUGAUGACAGCUUCCAAAUGCUGAAACAGUCGUGCAAAUACAUUAUCAAACAGAUGAUUCAUUGUAAAGCAUCAGACAUCAGGACCAAUUUAAAGAAAACAAAACAAAAAACAGAAACCCAACUUCAUAAACACACAAUUAAAUACACCAAACAUCAUAGACAACAUUAUAAUAUUAGACAAUAUAUAUAUAGGGUCAUGUUCUACUUAGAAUCCUUAGCCUAAGAACCAUUAGCCUUAUUUCUAGUAUUAUUAGGUUCUGCAGCAGAAGUGCACAUGCAAAACAUGUCGUGUUUCUGUAUUAUAUAUUGAAAUUAUUUUUGAGCAUACACAACAAUGCAAAAAAACAUGUAUUUAGAUUUAGAUCCUGAAAAUUUAUAUAAAAUUCAGGGUUCUGCUGCAGAACCUUACUGGUUCUAUGGUUCUAUCUUAGGGAUUGGUUCUCUCUUGAGCGCGACCCUAUAUAUUAAAAUAUAUAUAUAUAUAUAUAUAUAUAUAUAAUAAAAAAAACAACUUACCUUAGAAAGCACUUUUCCUAGAUGUUCAGAGCCCAUCCUGUGCGCAAGAUGUCUGUAUUCUGGGGAAUUAGCAAAAUACUCGCGUUCUUUCCGGCGAGCAGCAAUCAUGUCGACACUUUUAUUAAUAUCAGCUUGAGAUCGAUUAACAACACCAAUCCAAGGAAACUGUAGCUUAUAUGAUUUUCCUUCCAAGAUCUGAAAAAUCCAGUCGACAGAUUAAAGACAAUAAGUGUACAAAUUGAGGCCAUCAAUAUGAUAAUGAUAUCAAACACUGGAUGGACCUAAACAUCUAGGUUCCUCAAAAUAAUUUUGUUAGACAUUAAUAGAAGUUGUAUUCAGAAGAUCAUUACUUAGUGAUCAUAAUAAGAAAACUUCCAGUUUAGUAUGAAUGUGAGUUGUUGGUUGGAACAUAUUAUUAACGAAAGUUGUAUUCAGAAGAUAGUACUUUCUGGAUGAUUAUAAUAAGAAAACUUCCAGUUUAGCAUCAAUGUGAGAUGUUAGUUGGAACAUAUCAUUAAGCAAGCACAGAUUAUAAACUUAUCGUUCUUAUAAGAGAUGAUAAUAAAAUAUAUACAAACAUUUUCGAGUCUAAUGUGUAUAACAUUGGCUUCAUUAAGCAAAUACUCCUGUCCCAUAUAACUGGUUUGAUUGGAAUUUUUUGGUCACAUUGACUAGUAUGAUUCAAUAUAAAAUGUAAUCAUUUCAUAUAUUUAUAAAUUGGAAAUACAACUUUAUAAAAAUGUACUGUUCAUUAUAAUGCAUUUUAAAAAAAUUAACACUAAUCAUAAAAUACAUAAUUUGCACUAUAAAAUUGGUUUUCAACAGAGAAAAGGCCAAAUAAGCCAAAACAUUGGGACAGAUGGAGUCAUAUUAUCAAAAGAUAACAUUGGUUCACAAAAAACAAAAGCAACUUGCCUCCACUGCAUCAGUACCCUUGUCCAUUAGAUCAACCUUUGUCAAAACACCAAAUGUUCUCUCCCCUAAUACAAAUCGAACACAUUUCAUCUAGUCAAUAGAGCCGAACCAAAAGGUAUUAAUAAUCAUCAGAAUGUGCAAAUGAAAUAUGUAAUUUGCUAUAAAGGCCAAAACUGUCAAGUAUUGCCUAAAGAUUGAUAUUGGAUAGUAUUGAGUUUUAUAAAUAGAUUUAAUUUUAUUUAGUUUGUUAGCUCAAGGCAGGAAAAGUAGUUACAGUUUAAUCAAUGUUUUGACCUGUAUAUAAACAAUCUGCUUGUUCAGUUAGAAGGUAAGAACUAAGAACUUUGUUUUACAAUUCUUUCCAACGUAAUCAAUACAAACAGAUAUUCUAUGUCUAUAUCUUUUUGUUCACAAUUCAAGUUGAUGGAUCCAGAUUGAGCAGUGAUUUGAGUUUCUUGAGGUUCUUCAUGGUAUCACAGCAUCAAGGUGAAGACUCAAUCAUGAUACAUUAGUUUUUCGGCAUAGAUCUUCGUAUAUUUCAUUGUUUUUUGUGAAGAACUCUAGUUCUAGAUUUGUUCUUCACCGCGAUAGCGAUUUCCUUGAUACAUAGUUGGUACUGUAUUUUUUUCUUGAUCGAACAAUUUUUUCAUCGUUUUGUUUAUGUUUCUCGAUUGAUUCCUAUUUUUGCAAAUUACAGACCUAAGUUUCUCGAAAUCAUCAAUUGAAACCCUAAUUUCUGGUAAGAUACUCAUGACUGGCCCUCAAAACACAUAAGAUUCUUAUAACCAAGCCAACAUCUGAUUUAUCUAAGUAUGGAACCUAUAUCAAUAAUACUCCCUUCAUCCCGAACAUUUCUUUACACUUUCCUUUUUGAGAUGUCCCAUCCAAUUCUUUACAUUUAAAAACUUGGCAAAUAUAGUGAACUUUUACAAUAUAAAAAUCAACUACUCUCACUACUUUUCUCCACUAUACUUACUUUAUACAUAAAAUAUCAACCGGUCCCAUCACUUUUCUUACUUUACUUAUUUUCUUAACCUCCGUGCCCAACCCAAAUGUAAACAUUUGGGUGGGACGGAGGGAGUACCAAUCAUCUAAGGGAUACUAAAUAACAACAGCAGGUAAUAUCUUUUACAUCUGAUUCCCCAGUCAUGUGGUCCAAAGCAAUCUCCAAGGGAGCGGUUUGAAAGAUUUAAACAAGUGAUGAAGAAGGAUAAAUACAAACAGGCUCAAACAUAUGAUAUUUUAUUCUUCAAUAUUCACACGAUAAUAAGAUAACUAUCCUCAUCUAUGUUGAUGACACUAAUAACAUGUGAUGAUUCUGUACAGCAAGAAAAACUUAAAGGUGUAUUUUCCCAAGAGUUAAAAGUAAAAUAUCUCAGUCCAAUGAAGUAUUCUUAGGAAUGGUGGUUGCAAGAAGAAAACAAGGUAUUGUGCUGUUUCAGAGGAAAUAUAUUCUGGAUAUUCUAAAGAAACCAGAAUGAGCGGUUAUAAACCUGUGGCAACACCAGUCAAACCAAAAGGCAAGUUCAAAAAAGUCACAAAAGAAAAACCAGUUGAUAAAGGAAUGUAUUAACGACUAGUGGGCAAACUGAUCUACCUAUACGAGGCAUGAGAUUACAUACGCUGUGAGUCUUAGUACUCAGUAUAUGCAUAAUCCUAUAGAGGAAAACUUGGAACCGUGUACAAAAUUUUGCGCUAUCUAAAGAAAACACCAGGGGCUGGAUUGUUGUUUAGAAAGAAUGAAAAACAUAUUGUUGAAGGCUUCACAGAUGUGGACUUGCACCUGGGGAGGAUCAUUUGAAAAUAGAAGAUCAACAACUGGGUAUUACUCUAAAGUUUUGGCAACCGGGUCAAUUGGAGGAGUAAGAAACAAUCGGUAGUAGUUCGAAUUACUGAAUUGGUGCUGAAGCUGAACUUAGAGCUCUUGCUCGAGGAGUUUGUGAUUUAAUCUGGAUUAAGCACAAACUUAAGAAAUUAAAGAUUCAUAAAGUAACCCACUAUAAUUGUUCUGCACCGACAAAUUAACAAUCAACAUAGCAGAAAAUCCGGUUCACAUGACAGAACCAAGCAUAUAAAAAUAGACAGACACUUCAUCAAAGAAAAAGUUCGAAGAAAAGGAAUUAUGUGUUGUGUACAUUCCCAGCAAGCAACAACAGGCUGAUAUCAUGACUAAAGUCUAUCCACAGAAAGUUUUAAUAAGUUGGUUUGAAAGACAUGUGAAAUCUCUAUGCACCAGCUUGAGGGGGAUAUUAGCUGCUGUUUUUAUUCAGAAUCAGGUUGUAUAAUUGAUAUAGUUUCCAUUAUAAAUUAGAUGCUGGCUUGGUUAUUUAAAAUCAUCAGGUGUUAAUACUAUAUAUUUAGCACUUAAUAACAUAUAUUCUCUUGUCUAUGCAUGGCCUAUAUAAAAGCUUCAUUUUCAUAAAUAUUUGGCUGGAAGGACUAGAUUUAAAGAUUUCCAUCCCUACAAUCAAUUUUUAGAGUGAUAAUACUCCUGAGCAUCAGGUUUCUCAGGAACGCAAAAAAUAUUUAAAGAUUGAUUGUCACUUAAUUCACGACUAUGUUACUUCAGUUCUGGGUUUCUCCGAAUCUUUCACAUUCAUACAUCCUUGCAACUUGCUGAUGUAUUGACUAAACCUUUAUCUGUUGCUCAACACAAUGAGUUGUGCCUUAAGCUUGGCCUUCAGUUUGAUCCUUCUUGACAUCCAGCUUGAGGGGGGUAUUGCGUACUGUAAAUGGCUUUUAUUUUAUUUAGUUUGUUAGCUUUAGGCGGGAAAGUUAAUUUAUUCAAUGUUUUGAUUUGUAUAUAAACGAUUUGUGUUAGAAGGUAAGAACUUCAUUUAACAAUUUUUCUCAACAUAAUCAAUGAACACAAAUAUUUUGUAUCUAUCUUCUUGUUUACAGUUCGAGUUAAUGGGAUUCAGAUUGAGCAGAGUUUUCAAUAUCUUCAAAUAGGCGUCCAGCUCACCUUGACUAUAAUAGGAUAGGCCAUCUGUUAUGGAUUUUAGGUGAUCAUGGGCGUCACUGGACACCUAGGGAAUAGGGAUCCAUUAGGUGUCAGCUAUAUAUUGAUAACUUUCCCCAACUAUUAUAUUGUGUUGCUUAUUUUAGUUGCAAUGUACCUUUCAGCUAUAUAUUGACUAUAAUUGUUGCUUAUUUGGUGUUAUUUUUCUGGCUACGUUAUUGAAGACAUAGAUACUUUACCUUUGGGAUCUACUUCACGAGACAUUUUGAUUGCAUCAGAGGUAGCAAGAUCUUGGUUAGCAGGAGAAACUGCUAGAAUGAUACAGUUGGGCUGCAUAAUUGAAAAUGUUGAACUGUUAAUAUUUUACACGGGAAUAAAUACCCGUGAUGCCACAAACGCACUAAUUAAAGAACAAAUGCGCACUAUAGCAAGCUUAAAAUAAGUUUGACAUUGCAGCCCUGGAUUCUUACACACAGACACAUGUAUGGAGGGAAGAAGAUCAUAAUAUCCCAUAAUAGACAGUCAUCUUGAAGGUUCUGGCUGUGUCCACCGACUGCUAAACCAUAGUAAUUGAGGUGCAUAUUUUAUGAUACAAGAAUAGAAAAUAACUCAUGAUUCGAAUGGUAACUUACCUUCUCAAUAUAUGAGCGAACCAUGUUCUCAAUUUCCUGCACUAUACUCUCAGCUUGGCCAUCUACAGGGACAAAUUAGUAUAAUCAAAAUGAAUCAGCAUCAAGAAGUGGAAAGAAUAAUAUAAGUGGGCAAGGAGAUAACAUUAAGUAUAUAUGGAUCAGUCAAAACAAGAAUAUUUUUUAAAUAUAAAACAAGAGCUACGAGAUACUAAAACUCACCAAUAGCUACCUUUGUAAGCCCGGGAAGGUCGAUCAAUGUCAAGUUUACAACUGUCAUUCCCACAACACACAGGUAAGAUAUAUUGCAGUUACUACUUUUACAUGCAAUUGACAUGUACAGAGAUGUAUAAGAUACUGGCAUAUACUAAUCCAGAAAAUAUUCAAAUAAAAGAUGUUCAAAGGUAAACCAUCUCUUCUUUCAUUUAUAACUAUGGAUGCCAUCACCAUCAUAUUUAUGGCAGGAUUCAUCUAAUAAGACACUGCACUGAACAGAUAAAAUGCAUUGUUCUAAAAACUUGUAUUACACUGGCAGAGUAACAUCUAAACUUCAAACCUAGCAACCUACUAAGUGCUAACAUAAGUUAAUCACGAACAUCCAAGGAACGUCACUCGUACAAAUUAUUAGAGCUUGAAAAAUCCAAAAAUACUAGGUUAGAGAUGCUAUUUACCAUUGGGCGAAUAGAUGCUGAGAUAUAUCGGUACAGUAGAUAUAGCUUUAGAUCUUCCAGUCUCUCGAUCAGUCUCGUCAGAAAUCUCCUUCCUAACAGCAGCUGCACAAGAUACAACAGAAUCAGCAACUGAGCAAGGACAAAGAUACAUCAUAUUUGUAAGGAACAGUAUGUAUAUAUAAUAUAAGUUAUGUGGCUAUGUGCUACUAAUCAUUCCGUAACAUAUAUACCAAAAUCGGUGUAUUUCCUUUUGGGCUGGUGUGCAAAUUCCGCAUAUUCUCUUCCUUCUUCAAGUCUGUGCAGCUGUAGGACAAGAGGACGCCGGGUGACAAUUCCUGCAUUCAAACAGUACAAGAUUCUAGUUGAUAGGUUGCACAUAUUGUUCAACUGAGUGUUUAUAUACAAAUUAAGUAUGUAAUUAGUUUUUACAAAUUAAGUUAAUGAAGCUGGUUACCAGAUCCACGAGGAAGAAAGUCCUUUCCAACAACACUCUCCAGAACAGAAGACUUUCCAGAACUCUAAAAGCAUUAAAAGAGGUGUAUCAAUUCAAACACCUAUCAAAGCACUCGGAAAAUCACAAUUUUCCAUUAACACGGCAAUUGGAGUCACAUUUUUGCGACAUCUCCACUCCUAUUAGCUACGGAUCCUAAAUCACACUCAAACCGGCUUCUCGAAUCUAAUUAGAUCUCCAUAUGUUUUUCUCGCAAUUACUACAUUUUCACAGUUGGCACAUUUCAAAAUUCCUAGUGACUUGCCUGAUUCAAAUUUCUCGACUAGGAACCGAAUUGAAAACACGCAGACAACUCAUUAUUUCACUCAGGCGAUACAAAUAAAACUCGAAAAGGUGAAUGACACUAAUCCAAUCAAAUCAGCAUUGAUUUAAUAACUAAACUAACUGAAAUUACCGAAAAAUAAAAGCAAUAAGCGAGUUAAGAAAGUAAAAGAAAGAGUGUAAACCUGGCAACCGACGACGGCGAUUGAGGGUACCGCGUCCCAGAGAGUANGUCCCAGAGAGUAGGCAACGCGCUUUCUUCGCCGUAAUCGCCGAGAGCAGUACAAGCUCUUUGUAAUCUGUUCACUAGAGAUAUCAGAUUCUCCAUGUCGAUUGGUGGGAUCUGUACGGAGAAGAAUUUGACUCUGUUUGGACUGUAAUUAAUACGCCGCCACCGUUUUUGCAGUUCAAUCUGGGGGUCCGUUUCAAUUCGGAGGCCCGAUUCUGUAGCUUUUUACUGUACUACUUUGCUUUGCUUCGCUUGCUAUAAUUUCAAAUUCAAAUCCCAGUGCAGCUGCCCAACUUUUUCGUUUCAAAUUUUUGUCCCUGUUUCAAAUUUUUGUCCCUACCUCUUCGGGGUCUUCAUCCCAAAUAACCGAAAUUGGGGUGAUAAUGGCCCAAAUAUCAAAAAACUCGAUAAAUGGCUGGUAUAGCGUUUUUGUUUUAUUAACGAAAACGCUACAUCAUGUAGCGUUUUUUUUUUAAACUAAAAACGCUACUGCAAGUAGCGUCUAAACUUUAUCCUUUUAUUUAACACAAAAAAGGCUCCUCCCAAUGACGUUUUGGAGUAUUGGCAAGUUGGUCAGGGUGGAUACUGAAAACACAAGACGUUACUUUAAAUAACGUUUAGACCAAUUUUGCUUUUUUUUCUAAUUCUAUUUCUUAAAGUUGAGAAUGAACAUUAUUUUUUGUUUUAUUGAUCUAUUUUUUUUCUAGUUUAUAAAAUAAAAAAUGCUAUACAAAAAUAUUUUUAAUUUUCAAAUAUAAAUUAAUCAUUCUACAACCCAAAUCAAAACUCUAAAGGUUAACGAUGUUAAAGUAAUUUAUUCCGCCGGUUUCUCGGCUUUAGGGCCUUCGGCCCUGCAGCCUCGCAUUAAUUACGAUUUAGGCUCAAGGGAGUAGGGCCUACCGGCCCUACACCCUCAAUCCUAAACCCUAACCGCCGGCCAAUUUAAUAUACAGUACGAAUUAAUCAUUCUGCAACUCAAACCUAAACCCUAAAUGUUAACGAUUGUAAAUUAAUUUAUUCCGUCAGUUUCUCGGCUUUAGGGCCUUCGGCCCUGCAGCCUCGCAUUAAUUACGGUUUAGGCUCGAGGGAGUAGGGCCUACCGGCCCCUACACCCUCAAUCCUAAACCCUAACCGUCGGCCAAUUUAAUAUACAGUACGAAUUAAUCAUUCUACAACCCAAACCUAAACCAUAAAUGUUAACGAUUGUAAAUUAAUUUAUUCCAUCGGUUUCUUAGCUUUAGGGCCUUCGGCCCUGCAGCCUCGCAUUAAUUAGGGUUUAGGCUCAAGGGAGUAGGGCCUACCGGCCCUACACCCUCAGUCCUAAACCCUAACCGUCGGCCAAUUUAAUAUACAGUACGAAUUAAUCAUUCGGCAACCCAAACCUAAACCCUAAAUUUUAAGGAUUGUAAAUUAAUUUAUUCCGCAGCUUUCUCGGCUUUAGAGCCUUCGGCCCUGCAGCCUCGCAUUAAUUAGGGUUUAGGCUCGAGGGAGUAGGGCCUACCGGCCCUACACCCUCAAUCCUAAACCCUACCAUUGGCCAAAAUACAGUACGAAUUAAUUAUUUUACAACCCAAACCUAAACCCUAAAUGUUAAUGAUUGUAAAUUUAUUUAUUCAACCGGUUCCUCAGUUUGCUCCUUCUCUCGAUAGGUUUUUCACUCACCGGUUAUAAACAAAAACACACGUGAAUAUAUAAGCAAGUGGUCACUAUGUGCUAAUAAAGUUGAUGGAUGAUUCAAGAAACAAAAGCUUGCAUACAACAUACAUAUUAUACUCAACUUCUAGAUACUCUGGCCACUGCCCGGUGCCUAGACAUAUAACUAUGCUAAGACGCUGCUUCGAGUAGCGUUUUCCUUUUUAAUAAUCUAAAACACGCUACACGAAGUAGCGUUCCCUACCUAAUAUUAAACGCUACUUCACCCACGUCUUUAACGGUCAUUUAGGGCCAAUUUUUUGAAAAACGUUAUUUGGGGCAUUACUUCUUUUAUUUCUGAUAAUCAGGGCCAUUUUUCACCUCUUGGUCUUGGGGGUUCCGGUUGUUGGAAUAAUCUUAAAUUUAUUUAUUAUUAAUUAUUUGUUUUGUUUAAUUAUUUAUUUGUAUAAAGUUUGUUUACUCUAGUAUGGUCGUGAGUACUGUUACGUGCUUAGAAAAUAGCUGCUGAUCAGGUCAUGAAGUGAUGGAGUAGAAGUAGGAGUCCAUUAGAGUAAUAAUAGGAGAAAUAUCAGUAACCUCCUAGUAGUGCACUUAGAGUAGUAUUUUAUUCAUUUCUAGUUAACAGGAGAGACAAUACAAUGUAGUCCUUGAGAUCAGUUCAUGCUUAUCAAUAUAUUUCUUCCAUCUUAUUUAUCUUAUAUUUAUUAUUCUAGUGCAUUAUUAUUUUCAAGAUGGUAUAGCAACCUGGGACCUGUGGGUCCUCGUGGUGGCUGUGCUGCAAGAAAAAAAACUACUACAGGCAGUGACAUGAAGGUGGCAACGCUGCAUGUGUAGUAUGGGAUGCAUGUGUAGUAUGGGGCUGUCGAGAAAAAUGAGACCAUGCGGGAGAAGUUUGUUGAAGGAAGAAAACGAGUUAGAGUGGUAGAAGGCCAUGAAGAACGAGAUGGAACAAUUUGUGGAGGCAGGGACACGGAAGGUGUUUGAUGGAAUGUCUGAGAAAGAUAUUGUUGCUUGGAAUGCAAUGAUUUCUGGAUUCAAAUUAUGAGUGAUUAUGUGCACCUGGAGAGAAGUGCUCCAAUGAAUUUGGUGUUGAUGAGAAGUGCAUUAACAAAUUGAUGUUGAUGAGAAGUGAAUCAACAAAUUGAAGGUGGUGAGAAGUGCAUCACAGAUGAAGAGAAGUGCUUCAUAUAUUAUGUUCAUAUAUAGGUUUAAGAUUGUGGGGGUGAUUGUUGGAAUAAUCUUAAACAUAGUUAUUAUUUAUUUGUUUUAUUUAGUAAAAUAAAGUCCAUGUUUAUGUUUUUAAACAACUGAUGACUAAGUCACUGGGUAGUUCAGUAUUGGUAGGGAACAUUGAAGUAGUGGAAAAUUAGUAGGAUAGAAGUUGUUGGUUUUUAGGAACAACAUAGAUGCAGUAUUUUGAAUUCCUAUAUGUACGUCCCAUGCAAGUUUAUUGUAGGGAACUUUUCCCUGCACUUUGUUUUCUCAGUCUUAUAUUAUACAUAUAUUUAUUUCCAACACUUGGUAUCAGAGCGAGGUUCUUUUUGGCAUAAUAAUAUGAUUUUCAAGAAGCAAUUCCAGCUAGAAGAAAAAACCUUCGACAUUUUCUCGAUCAAGAAACGAAGCCAGCCGAUCCAUCCCAAAAAUUUUCACAGAUCUGGUUACUUCCCCUUUCUCACAAACCAACAGCCCCCUCUUUUCCUUUUCCUUUGUAUUCAAACAGACCACACACUUUUUUUGUUAUUGUAAGCCAGAUCUCUCUUCUCGCUCUUAAACAAUCUUCUCGCUCUCCAACAAAACGCGAAAUUCAGUUUUGAUUCGAGAUUCAAUUCGUCGGAAUUUGGAGAGUACGGUGACUAGACGAUGUUUCUAUAUGAUUAUUGAUGUUAUAACAUGUUUUUCUUUAGCCUUUUAUUAUUUGAUGAAUGUUUGUUGUGUGCAUUUACGCCACAAUUGAGGUAUGAUAUCUUAAACUUUUGAAGAUUUACCAAUUAUAUUGAUUUUGCUGGGUUAUGUUUUACAAGUGCUAGAUGUAGACGUGAAUAUUGAUAGUAUUAAACUCAUGUAUUUUCUGCUACUUGUUAUUUUUUUCAAUCAUUCUGUUAUGAGAUGUUCAAGACGAGCAUUGUAGUUGUUUUGAUUAUUGUUAUAGUCAAAUUUGGAGUCUAUAUCGUACUGUUUCUUGGUUAAAAUUUUAAGUUUCUUGUGCACUGUUUACACCUUAAGAUCAUUGUUUGAUUUGAUUAAUUUAUGAUUGGUAUUGUAAUCACUUGUUUGUUUCUUUUUUAUCAGAUUUGUCCAAUAAAAUGAAUGAAUGUUUUUAGUCAAAUGUUAGAUUCAUUGGGAUAGCUCGUUCGUGUUUCUUAAUUCUAACUUGAAUUAUUUUUAUUUAUUUGUAGUUAAUCAGAAGUUUCAAAUUCUUAAGUUCUGUUUUAGAGAUUAAAUCGUCUUUGUAAUAUAUGAAUAAUUUAUUUAUUCAAUUUUAAUUGCUUCAAUUAAAUUCACUAAUUUUGUUUGACCGUCUUUGUAAUAUAUGAAUAUUUAUUUAUUCAUUUUUAAUUGCUACAUUUAAAUUCAUUAAUUUUGUUUGACCGUAAUAAAUUGAUAUUAUGGUGAGAUAUUACAUGAAGUAGUGAUUGAAUCCUUUAAAUUGAAUUGAUUGAUGUCUAAAUGAUUUAAAUGUUAAUUGUGCCUUCAUUGAGGCGAAUUGUACCAUUCAUGGGUGGCCAUAAAUGAUGGCAUAUAUUUUGGCUUGUAAGAAGCAAUCAAUUUUUUUUAAUUAUUUUAAUGUCUAACCAAAGAUCCUUCUUUGGUUAGACUUUAUUUUAUUUUUCAACUUCAGAAAUAUAGACACAUACUUCUAAAAAUACUUUAUUAUUAGAUAUAUUAUCCUUUAUAAUUUUUUAUUUUUUAUUUAUAUAAUUUUGUAUAUGAACUUAUGUUCUUCUUUUUUCGUGUAUUUUUUGCAGGAUCCCUAGAAGGUGUUAAAGGGGUAUUUUCCUAUCAAACAUUAAAGUAUUAUUAUCCAAACGUCCGGAGAUAUCUUUGCAUGUCUUUCGGUUAGAUGAUAAUCUUUUUUAAAUGAAUGAAAUCCUUUGUAGCGGCUUAUUGUAUCUCGAGAUACAACUCAUCUACGAGUAUGUAGACCCUAACAACAAAAAAAAAAAAAAAAAGCAAUUCCAGCUGAGAAGGUGGUUACAGCAGAAGGGUUGCCGAGAAAGAUGUGAUGCAGUGUGGGCAAGUGGUAGGUAUCAUCAUGUGCAGUAUGGGAUGCAUAUGGGGCUACUAUUCUAUUUUGUUUGCACUGCCCAGAAGAAGUUAAAGUUAGAGAAAGAAGCGGAAGCUUUGGCUGUUCUAGACGAUGGGGAGAGUUGAUCCAAAGUGUUUUGGUGUUUAUGAGAAGUGCAUCAACAAUUUGGUGUUGAUGAGAAUUGCAUCAACAAAUAUAAUUGGUGUUGAUGAGAAGUGCAUCAACAAAUUGAUGGUGGUGAGAAGUGCAUCACAGAUGAAGAAAAGUGCUUCAUACAUUUUAGAUUAAAGGGGAGAUUAGCUCGCUGAAAUUCUGUCAUCAGUGAAGUUUGAAAGAAUGAGGGCACCAGUGGGAAUCAAAUACUUGCAGAAAUAAAUUUAAGAUUAUGGGUGUGAUUGUUGGAAUAAUCUUAAAUUUAUUUAUUAUUAAUUAUUUGUUUUGUUUAGUUAUUUAUUUGUAUAAAGUUUGUUUACUCCAGUAUGGUCGUGAGUAUUGUUACAUGCCUAGAAAAUAGCUGCUGAUCAGGUCAUGAAGUGAUGGAGUAGAAGUAUGAGUCCAGUAGAGUGAUAAUAGGAGAAAUAUCAGUAACCUCCUAGUAGUGCACUUAGAGUAGUAUUUUAUUCAUUUCCAGUUAACAGGGGAGACAAUACAAGUAGUCCUUGAGAUCAGUUCAUGCUUAUCAAUAUAUCUCUUCCAUCUUAUUUAUCUUAUAUUUAUUAUUCUAGUGCAUUAUUAUUUUCAACACUCGUGGGUCGGUUUGGGCGGGUUGCUAGCAAAUUAGUAACCCAACCCAAUUAGAUCGGUUUUAUAAAAUUUGAACUCAUCGUAAACCUUAUUAAAGUCGGAUUGGGUUGGUUCGGCUUGGUCAGGUUGAUCGGUUUAAUUAUAAAAUAGAAUUUAGUAUGACAUAUAUUUGUAUUUGUUGGUCUGCGAUAAAAAAAUUUAGAAGUCGAAGAAUCAAAAUCACGUGCAACUUAAUCUAGUAUACAAUUAUACAAUUGAUCAUCACAUAUGCACAUCAUAAUACACUACAAUCUAAAAAACUAAAUUAUGUUACAUAUAAAUAGAACAUCAUUAUAUUAAUUAUAAUUCAUAAUUUGAGUACUAACAUAUUAAUAUCAAGAAAAUCUUAACUUCUAAGUCAAUUAGUAAACUAGUAGUAUGGCUCAUUAGUGCAUAAUAUAUGUCGGGUUGGAAUGAGUUAAAAAUUAUCAAAACCCUAACCCAACCCAUUUAAUUCGGUUUUUUUAAUGUUUAACCCAUUCAAAGUUCGGUUUAAUAAUAUCGGGUUGGGUUGGCUAAAAAUAGGGGCGGGUUGGGUCGGUUUAAUCUGUUUUGUCAAAUUAUGGGCACCCCUACAAUUUCUUUUGUUUUCUUCAAAGAAUUUCUCAAUAAUCCCGCCUGUUUUUCACUUUUUUACCCCAUUUUUCUAUUUUGAUUUAGUAAUCUCUCUGUUUUUCACUUUUUAAAAGGGUUUUGUUUCUGAUUUAGAUUUCCAACGGAUAAUAUAGCUAAUUGAUAAAUGUACUUUGUAAAACUUGAAAUUAAGUCAUAUCGUUAAAAAAAUUAUAAUUAACUAAUUAAGUAUUUAAAAACUUUUAUAUCAUUAAUUUCUGUAAACUCUGGUAAAACAUUAACAUAAAUAAACAGCAUUUCAAAAACAUCACUAAAACAAGAACAAUAAUUUCAAAAAUAUCAUCUCAUACAUAAUUAGCACUAAACCAUACAAUUACAAUAAUAAAGAGAAUUAUCAACCCUCUGUAGUUACAACAACAAAAGAACUAGAAAAUAUUUUCAAAUUUACGGUCAAAAAACUGCUAGCAAAUUACACAAUAAUAAGGAUCUAUGGCUACUGUUUCUUUCAUUCUCUCAAAAAUCAGGGUUUGAGGAGUCGCCUUUCGUCCUUUGUCUUUGUCCAUUUUCAAGAUAGUCCGAGAGGCUUCCACUGGUUUUUUCCACUGGAAAGCCCCAUCCUCUUUAUUUCCUUUCAUCUUCGUUGAUUUUCUUUCAAUAAAACACAUUUUUUUGGGUAUAUGUGUGUCUCUUCUUUUGGAGUGUGUUUGUUUGUCUCUCCUUUUGGAGUGUUUGGUUAUGUUUUUGUCUAGUUAUGUUUGGAUCUAUUCGAUGUUGGAGUCGUUGAGAAUGAUUCUAUUGAUGAUUUUGGAGAUCUGAAAUGCCCGCGUCAAAUAUCAGUCGGUGGUAAUUAUGGCAAGAACUCACCUUUCAUAUUCAAAGAUUGUUCAUCUGUUAGGAGUUUACACUUUCGACAUGUCUAUAGCUGGUAUCCGCAUGUAGAUAUCUAGGGUGCCGCUCCUUCGAUCUCAAUUUAUGAGAUUAGGGUUUCUAAACGCUGGUCUAAUAAUGGCUUUUACAUUAUAAGGUCAAUUGUGAUGUUGUUGCCUUCUGCGAUGUUGGUACAAUUUGGAUCGCUUGGAAUAUCUUUUAUUUCAUUUUUAACUUCAAGAAUUCUAAAUUCUAUGUGUUAAACAAUCAGGUAACAAAUCAGCUAAUUGUUUUUAGUAUGUUAUUUGUUUUCCAACCUGGUUGUUCAGCAGUAGGGGUUUGUCUCCACUAUAUCAUUCUGAUUAAUGAAAGUGCUUUUAUUUAUGGCAAAAAAAAAAAUUAGAUGUAAGCAUAGUCAUAUUUGUCUUGAACUUUGAAUAGAGGUGAUUGCGGUGCGGUUUUUCUCUAAAACCGCAAACCAAACCGCUUAUAUGGUUUGGUUGAAAUUUUAAACCGCAACCACACCGCGCUAACAAAAAACCGCCUAGACCCACACCACAAAAAUGCGGUGUAGUGCGGUGUGGCUUCUAAAUUGUGUAUGCUAAAUAAUAAAUAUUUUUAGUUGAAAUAGAGAAUAAAAUUUAAAUAUACAAUAACUAAAACUUUUUUUGCAAUGAAGUUUUAUAAUAUUUAUCGUUUCAGAGCUACUACAACUACUAAAAUUAUAUAAAUAAAAGUGUAAAUAUAAUAAUAAUGAUGAUGAUGAUGAUGUUGAGUAAUAAGAGUCAUAUUAUAAUAAUAUAAUCGUUUCAUAAAAAUUUGGCACAAUAGUCAUGCGAGAUUUUAUAAACUAAUAAUUAACUAUUAUUUAAAGAGAUUUAAGUAAUAUAUACAUAACAUAAUUAUAAAUAAUAUAAAUAUGUAUAUUACAUAAUUUUAUUUGACAAUUACUAGUAUAUAUAUACAUACAUAUAUAUAUAUAUAUAUAUAUAUAUAUAUUAUAACAUUGUGGUGCGAUACGGUUUGAACCGCGCUAGUAAUAUGUCAAACCACAACCCGCACCAUGCAUUUAGUGAAAAAAUCAAAUCGCAACCACACCACGGAAAUUAAAAACCGCGUUUUGUUGUGCGGUGCAGGCGGUUUAUGCGGUUUAAGCAAUUUUUUUAUCAUCCUUGACUUUAAAUCUCCUCACUGGAAGCUUUGGCCAUCCACUAUUACUGGUCGGAAACUCGUAUGAUUGGACUUUUGAGGGAGAAUCCCAUUUUUUCUAUGUGUUGCUUCAACAUUUGGUGUAGGCAUCUGCAUUUUAAUGGAAUAAACAAUUAAUGUACUAGUUUGUGCAUGAAUUAAAGUAAAUUAAAGGAAUAAACUACUUACAAAAACCAUUCUUCUAGUGUUGUACGUGGCGGUGCAUUCAUCAUAUUUUCAGCCUCCAAAAUGUCAUCCAUUAAUUGAGCUUCACUUGUCUCCAUUUCUUUCCCAACCCUCUCCAUUUGUGCAUUUCUUUUAACUUUUUGUUCACUCAUCAGUUUCUCUUUUCGCAUGCUUUUUUUUUACUAUUUUCUCAACAUAAUCAACAGGCAUGUUUGGACAUUUUCAUCUAGUAUGCCCCGUUAAUCAGCAAAUUAUACAGUGUAUUACCCUCCCCAUCCUAGAUAAUGAACUUUUUUGUCCCUGCUUCAUUCUUCCUCUAACCCCCCCCCCCCC